CCCAUCUCCUGUCUUCCACCAGCGGAGGUAAUUUCGUAAGAAGGCGCCUCCCCAAACCUGCUGCCACACGUGGAGGGCUUGACUCUCCACAGCAAAGCUGCGAGAAACCAGAGGUACAGGAAGGAGCAUAAAGAAGCCACUCUCCCGCCACCGAUGGGACUGACCAUGGUGGACCCGGACUGGCAUGGGAGAGAAAGUGGGAGAGAGAAAGGGAGAGAGAGAGAAACAUGAAUGUGAGAGAUAAACAUCGAUUGGUUGCCUCCCAUACAUUCCAAGACUGCGGAUUGUAGAUGCCUGAACUGGGGAUCAAACCUGCAACCUAGGACCAUUGAAUAUGAGAAUGGGAAGGGACCUGAGCAGUAAUUUACUCCAACUCUGUGUACGAUGAACAGA